GACGAACGCUGGCGGCGUGCUUAACACAUGCAAGUCGAACGGAAAGGCCCCCAUCUUGGUGGGGGUGCUCGAGUGGCGAACGGGUGAGUAACACGUGGGUGAUCUGCCCUGUACUUCGGGAUAAGCUUGGGAAACUGGGUCUAAUACCGGAUAGGACCAUGGUUUAGUGUCUCAUGGUGGAAAGAUUAUUGUUUUGGUGCAGGAUGAGCUCGCGGCCUAUCAGCUUGUUGGUGGGGUAAUGGCCUACCAAGGCGUCGACGGGUAGCCGGCCUGAGAGGGUGGACGGCCACAUUGGGACUGAGAUACGGACCAGACUCCUACGGGAGGCAGCAGUGGGGAAUAUUGCACAAUGGGCGCAAGCCUGAUGCAGCGACGCCGCGUGGGGGAUGACGGCCUUCGGGUUGUAAACUCCUUUCGUUAGGGACGAAGCCGCACUUUUUUUGGGUGUGGUGACGGUACCUUUGUUAAGAAGCACCGGCUAACUACGUG
rnacentral:rRNA from 1 species